rnacentral:misc_RNA from 1 species
GAUGAAGAACGCAGCGAAAUGCGAUAAGUAAUGUGAAUUGCAGAAUUCAGUGAAUCAUCGAAUCUUUGAACGCACAUUGCGCCCCCCAGUAUUCUGGCGGGCAUGUCUGUUCGAGCGUCAUUUCAACCAUCAAGCCCUGCUUGUGUUGGGGUCCUGCGGCUGCCCGCAGGCCCUGAAAACCAGUGGCGGGCUCGCUAGUCACACCGAGCGCAGUAGCACAUCUCGCUCAGGGCGUGCGGCGGGCUCCAGCCGUUAAAGCACCCACCUUUCGCAAGGUUGACCUCGGAUCAGGUAGGAAUACCCGCUGAACUUAAGCAUAUCAAUAAGCGGAGGA